GUUCACCUCAAUCUGGCAAAAUCUGAAAGCAAAAGAAGUCAUUCCCAUUAUCAUGAAGUCCUACUUACUGUUGACUUUUAAAGAUGAACAGACACUGAAAGCAUUCAUUUUGGGGAAAAGACCCAAGGAAGAAAUAAAGGGGAAAAAAUUCCAAAACUUAUUAGAUACCUAAAAACAAAGUAAUGUUUGAACCAAACAGAGAUAAGCUGGAGAGACUAGACUCAGUCAUUGGUUUAGACCCAUCUCUGACACUUCCCAGACACGUGUCAAAGCUUUCUGGAGCUCACAGCUCCCCACCUCUAAAAUGGCAAGAGAAGAAAACUAGACAGUGGCUAGCUAGUUUCUUUUGAGCACUAAUCGUCUCUGAUUCCAGACUUCUAGCAUCCACAGAUAUAUUUGGUGCUUUGGUGUAUUUCUAGAACCAGACAGUUUCCUUCCCACAUGGCAGAAACAAAGCUCUCAGAAGCCAGGGGAGACAGGGUUUGGGCCGUGCUGAGACCCUGCCAGCCUGGCACAGGCAGGCUCUGUCUGGAAGGCACCCAGACCACAUUCCUGAUCCAAAUACCCAGUGUCUGUGACAUUUGAAAGUACCUUUCCAACCUCAAGACUCAAGCUGUGGCUCGAUUAUUUAAUGCACUCAGAAGCAGUUAAGUAUUACUUACCUUGCAGCCUUUGAAUCUUAGCAGAAGAGGUUUACCAUUAUAUGACUAGAUUGAGCAAGGAAAAGUUUCCUCCUGUUUCUUAAGUGUGUCUAUAUUUUAAUUCUCUAUUUUUAAGUGGAGAUACACCUAGAGUAGGAAAGUUGCUUAAAGGUCACCUGUCCUGUGGUUUCAAUACCCAUUUCCAAAUUAGAGGUACCUGGGCAUUUUCCUAAAAAUAUGGAUUCCAGGGCCCACUUCAGAUUGACUAGGUCAGAAACUGAGGGUGUUGGACCCAGCAAUCUGUGGUUUAACCAGCCCUGCAAGUGAUUCUGAUGAGCGGCUGGGUUUAGGAUACACUGCCAUGGACCUCCUUUUAGAAUUAUGGAAACAUUUCUGUGGGAAGCAGCACUCUGUGUAAUGAAGAUUUGAUUUCUAGAAACUCACUUUAGAGGAAGCACUUGGGAUAGCAUGAGAAAUCCACAUUCCAGGACACGUCAUGAGGCUCGGUCACUCAAGGUCAGUUUCCUCACCCCACCAGGUCCCAAGAGGAUGAGAGGAGUCAACCAGAGGCAACUGGUACUCGGACUCUGAACUCUUGGAAGCUCAGAUCCUUUAUCUGUUCCCAGGAAGUGUGCCUGUCAGAGUCUAUUGACACUGACCAAGCUGUGAACCUGGGCUCAAAUGGAUUGUGUUGAACCAUCUCUGUGAUGGUUAAUAUUGAGUGUCAACUUGAUUGGAUUGAAGGGUGCAAGGUAUUAAUCUUGGGUGUGUCUGUGAGGGUAUUGCCAAAGGACAUUAACAUUUGAGUCAGUGGGCUGGGGAAAAGAGACCCACCCUUAAUCUGGUGGGCACAAUCUAAUCAGCUGCCAGUGAAUAUAAAGCAGGCAGAAAAUCGUGAAAAGGCAAGACUGGCUUAGACUCCCAGCCUACAUCUUUCUCCCAUGCUGGAUGUUUCCUGCCUUCAAACAUCGGACUCCAGAGUUCUUCAGUUCUGAGACUCAGACUGGUUCUCCUUGCUCCUCAAGCUUGCAGACGCCUAUUGUGGGACAUUGUGAUCAUGCGGGGGACUCGGACAGUCACU
rnacentral:lncRNA from 10 species